UCAAUGUAUAAAACUCAUUAAAAGUAAAGUGACAUUGCUCCCAUCCUUACUGAAUGUUGAAUGAGGUAUGGUUUUUAAAAGAGGAUGGAAAAGCUCGUAGGUUCGAAGAAAGAAACUGUUGUAGCAGCCGAAAAUUACAAAACUGGUCUGCAUUGAUCAUGAAGAAGGAAGAAGGUUGAUGUAAGGUGUUUUAACAUUUAAAAGAAAAGAAUGACAAGGUAAUGUUAAAGCUUACCAUCCGAGGAAGGAGGAAUGAGCUCGAUGACAAGCUUGUUGCGGUGGAGAAGAUGACAGU
rnacentral:lncRNA from 1 species